GGGAGUGGGCAAACCCUAUCAUCAGGCCCCGUGCGGAGGGAGUCAUCUCCUCCACCGCCCAGGACUCUUUACACACGGAAGAAUACCACCUUUUGGCAGAGGCAAGAGCACUUCAUGUUAGUGACGCUUCAUGUGAUGGAGGAUAAAGGGACAACACUCUUCUCUCCUGGCGUCCGGUAAUUUUCAUCAUUUUAGAAUAAAAGGAAGGUGCCGUCAAGACAAACGAGGAGUUAUUCUUAGUUUUGGCAAGUCCUAAAACAGUGAUACGGGGGCUGAAGAGUUCACGUGGAGUAGAAAGUUAUUGCCAAGCUGCCAUGCCAUGAAGACACUCAAGCAGCCCUAUGAAAAGGUCCACUUGGGGAGGAACUGAGACCUCUUGCCAACAACCAUGUGAGUAACCCGUCUUGGAAGACGAUCCACCAACCCCAGUCAAGGCUUCAGAUGACUGUCACUCCAGCCAACAUCUUGACUACGACCUCAUGAGAGACUCUGUGCCAGAACCACCCAGCUAAGCUGCUCCUGAAUUCCUGACCCCCAGAAACUGAGAUAAUAAAUGUUUAUUAUUUUGAGCCACA
rnacentral:lncRNA from 1 species